rnacentral:rRNA from 1 species
GUUUGUUUUAAAUGUCAUGUUGAAGGCACUAGUUUUCAUCUGAUAACCAAAUUUAAUCAACAUUGAGCCUAGUUAGUACUUAGAUGGGUGACCAUUUGGGGAACCUAGGUGCUGUAAGCA